GAUGAAGAACGUAGCAAAAUGCGAUAAGUAAUGUGAAUUGCAGAAUUCAGUGAAUCAUCGAAUCUUUGAACGCACAUUGCGCCCGCCAGUAUUCUGGCGGGCAUGCCUGUUCGAGCGUCAUUUCAACCCUCAAGCACAGCUUGGUGUUGGGACUCGCGUUAAUUCGCGUUCCCCAAAUUGAUUGGCGGUCACGUCGAGCUUCCAUAGCGUAGUAGUAAAACCCUCGUUACUGGUAAUCGUCGCGGCCACGCCGUUAAACCCCAACUUCUGAAUGUUGACCUCGGAUCAGGUAGGAAUACCCGCUGAACUUAAGCAUAUCAAUAAGCGGGAGGA
rnacentral:misc_RNA from 1 species